UACGGAGGGGGCAAGCGUUGUUCGGAAUCAUUGGGCGUAAAGGGCGCGUAGGCGGCCGUGCAAGUCGGGUGUGAAACCCCUCGGCUCAACCGAGGAACUGCACUCGAUACUGCUUGGCUAGAGUCCGGGAGGGGAUGGUGGAAUUCCCAGUGUAGCGGUGAAAUGCGUAGAUAUUGGGAAGAACACCGGUGGCGAAGGCGGCCAUCUGGACCGGCACUGACGCUGAGGCGCGAAAGCCAGGGGAGCGAAUGGG
rnacentral:rRNA from 1 species